UCCCAUAUGGUCUAGUGGUUAGGAUUUUGCGCUUUCACCGCCAAGGCCCAGGUUCAAUUCCCGGUUUGGAAC
rnacentral:tRNA from 1 species